UUUCCGUAGGUGAACCUGCGGAAGGAUCAUUAAUGAGUUGUCAUGGGGUUCGAUGCUGGCAGCCAGUUUUUGGAUGCAUGUGCUUGCCCUAACAAUCAUCUUCUUCCAAACACCUGUGCACAUUUUUGAGGGAGUCUUGAGUUGGUUACCGCUCUUGGGUGAUUUUCUCACAUUCCCUUAAAUCAUUAUACGCUAUUAACAAUGUUGAACGUGCUCUGUGCCGCAAGGCCAUUAAUAUAAUACAACUUUUAACAACGGAUCUCUUGGCUCUC
rnacentral:misc_RNA from 1 species